CGCUAUUGCAAAUAGCUCUCUGUUUUAGGAUACCAGCAGAAUGCUUCAACAUUUUGUCUGAUCCUUGCUCUCUCAGUGUUUUUACAGACUCCGCAGUGAGGGCUUGCCGUGUCCUGCUGCAGGUGUUUGUUCACUAGUCUGCAUGUCCUGCGC
rnacentral:lncRNA from 1 species